rnacentral:siRNA from 1 species
UAAUAUUUCGCGUUAUCUCAGAC